UCUCAACCCCCCUUGUACUCUCCCUCCUCUCUCGAAAUCCACCAAACACUCAUCUCUCUCUUCCAGAAAGCAACACAGGAAGCAUAUGAAGAGUUUAAGCACGUGCUUCUUGCAUUUAUAUUUGACAAAGAAGAUCAGACAUCUCAUGUGGCAAAUGAGUAUUAAUUUGCUGGAGAACAGACGAGCAGGGUAUUUUGAGGAAAAGCAGGUCCAAUUAAUUUUCGGGGAUGUAUGCAAUGCAGUAUUUGCAAUGCAUUCUGAAUCACCAUCGACUGCUCAUAGGUAAGGCCCUUUGAUCCUUGAGCAUUACUCUUUAACCUCUCUUUAUGUUGAUCUUCUUUCUGUCAAUUUGUGUUGAUUUAUGAUUUGAGAAGAACCCUGUUUGGUUCUGGUUGUGGUGGUUAUCUUCUUCCUCUUAAUUGCUCUUGGAAGGGUUAUGAGAUGUGAUUCUAUUCUGUUGGGAGAAGAUAUAGGAUACUGAUCCUAAGGAAAUGUAUAGUUUUUGGAGGAUCUGAAUUCCAUGAAUUUUGUAUUGAUGGUGUGGUGAUCCAGUUUAUUGAAUCAUUUGGAAAAAAAUAAACCAUUUUGUUGA